GGUCUGAGGAAGGAGGCAACCAGGAGCUGCUUAUUCUUCUGGAAAUCCCAGAGCCUCCUGGUACAGACAGCGUUUCCUACUUUCCCUGCGGCUCUUUUGUGUGACUUUGAGAGGGGCUCUCUGGUGACUGAUUCCUCUCUGUGCGCUCGCCUCAGCGAGCAGCCAGGCUCUGGGAGGGAGGACCCAAGCUCAGCAGUGGCAGAGGCAGCCAGCACAGACCUCAACGGUGCUGGAACCGGCAUGCGGUUUUUGAAGUCAGCAAAACCAGAAAUCAAAUUACUAUCAUCUUAUGCUGCUGGAAGCUUAAAGAGAGGGGAUUCCACACUGGCUCAGUCACCAUGCGACAGGCGAGUCACAGGAUAGCGGACCCUGGCGACAACGAAUGUAAGUUCCUGGGCUGCUGUCUUUUACUGCUGUGGGAUUUUCUUUCUGCUUAAAGUCACGCUUGGCCACGAUGCCGUCAUUGCCGUGAGAAUUUCUGAUGUGGAAA
rnacentral:lncRNA from 1 species